rnacentral:rRNA from 1 species
UACGUAGGGUGCAAGCGUUGCCCGGAAUUACUGGGCGUAAAGAGCUCGUAGGUGGUUUGUCGCGUUGUUCGUGAAAACUCACAGCUUAACUGUGGGCGUGCGGGCGAUACGGGCAGACUUGAGUACUGCAGGGGAGACUGGAAUUCCUGGUGUAGCGGUGGAAUGCGCAGAUAUCAGGAGGAACACCGGUGGCGAAGGCGGGUCUCUGGGCAGUAACUGACGCUGAGGAGCGAAAGCGUGGGGAGCGAACAGG